rnacentral:tRNA from 1 species
AUAAAGGUGGCAGAUUAGUGCAUUAGGUUUAAGCCCUAAAUAUAAAAAAGUUUUUUUCUUUUAUA